GUGUAAACCUCUUGUAGUUCAAAAAGCUUACUCUACGUCACGCGCAUUCCCUAUUAAACUUACGGAAAAAGUGUAACUGACGCGACACCAUUUUACACUUUCUUCGUAACUUGAAUACGGAAGGCGGUCUGGCGGAAGCUCGAUAUUUGACUUCAUAACUUGUUAAAUAUGGAUAUUUAUUUUACACAAACGCAUCGUUUCGCUUCAGAAGGCCUUUAUUAACACUCCGAAGCCGUGUGGAGCACAUAUUUAUGAUUGAUGGAUGUGGAUGGAAGCACUUUGUUCAGCUCAUACUCAUUGAACCCUAUCACUGCCAUUAUAAAGCUCGGAUGCGUCAGGAUAUUUAUUAAUAUUUCUGCAAUUAUGUUCAUCAGAAAGAAGAAAGUCAUGUACACCUAGGAUGGCUUGAGGACUCACCAGAAUUGAGAAGUAUGAUGGCUUUAAGACAAACAAAUUCCUCCAGCUUGAGUUUGAGACUGCGGAAUCGAGCCACAGUCGCCAAAAGCAUGUCGAAAAUCUCAGCCAUUCCCUCAACACAUUCUCCUUCACUCCUGUAAAGAGGAAGACCAGCACUUUAUCUAUGUGACCUACAAGAGGAGGUGCAGAACAUCCAGUACCUAUCAAGGAUGAGAUCCUGAGCAAAGAUGAGUUUUCCAGGUGAAUGAAUGGACCUCCAUAUGAGGCCGAUCAUCAACACCUCCAGCCAAGAGCUCUCCAACAAC